AGAGUUUGAUCAUGGCUCAGGACGAACGCUGACGGUGUGCUUUAGGCAUGCAAGUCGAACGAGAAAACCCUUCGGGGUGAGUAAAAGUGGCGAACGGGUGAGUAACACGUGGGCAACCUGCCCCUCGCAGGGGGGACAACCGGAGGAAACUCCGGCUAAUACCCCGUAAGCUCUACACGCCGCAUGGCGAGUAGAGGAAAGGUAGCUUCGGCCAUCCGGCGAGGGAUGGGCCCGCGGUGCAUUAGCUAGUUGGUGGGGUAACGGCCCACCAAGGCGACGAUGCGUAGCUGGUCUGAGAGGAUGAUCAGCCACACUGGGACUGAGACACGGCCCAGACUCCUACGGGAGGCAGCAGCGAGGAAUUUUCCACAAUGGGCCGUAUGGCCUGAUGGAGCAACGCCGCGUGGGGGACGAAGCGUUUCGGCGUGUAAACCCCUUUUGGGCGGGAAGAUGAUGACGGUACCGCCCGAAUAAGCCCCGGCUAACUACGUGCCAGCAGCCGCGGUAAUACGUAGGGGGCGAGCGUUGUCCGGAAUUAUUGGGCGUAAAGAGCGUGUAGGCGGUUCGGUAAGUCUGCCGUGAAAACCUGAGGCUCAACCUCGGGCGUGCGGUGGAUACUGCCGGGCUAGAGGACGGUAGAGGCGAGUGGAAUUCCCGGUGUAGCGGUGAAAUGCGCAGAUAUCGGGAGGAACACCAGUAGCGAAGGCGGCUCGCUGGGCCGUUCCUGACGCUGAGACGCGAAAGCUAGGGGAGCGAACAGGAUUAGAUACCCCGGUAGUCC
rnacentral:rRNA from 1 species